rnacentral:tRNA from 2 species
GGGGAAGUACCAAAGCGGCCAACUGGGACAGACUGUAAAUCUGUUGUCUUAUGACUUCACAGGUUCGAAUCCUGUCUUCCCCA